CAGCAGCCACGGUAAUACGUAGGGUGCGAGCGUUAAUCGGAAUUACUGGGCGUAAAGCGUGCGCUGGCGGUUGUGUAAGACAGGUGUGAAAUCCCCGGGCUUAACCUGGGAACUGCGCUUGUGACUGCACAGCUAGAGUAUGGCAGAGGGGGGUGGAAUUCCACGUGUAGCAGUGAAAUGCGUAGAGAUGUGGAGGAACACCGAUGGCGAAGGCAGCCCCCUGGGCCAAUACUGACGCUCAUGCACGAAAGCGUGGGGAGCAAACAGGAUUAGAUACCCCUGUAGUCCCUGUCUCUUAUAC
rnacentral:rRNA from 1 species